ACCAGGAUGCCGCUGUAAACACUGAAAGCUGACGGUGAUGUGUACUGGCGACUCCAACUCCUGCGUGAUAACUUGAUGAAGCAGGCGCGGCGCAGACCUCGGGCGAUGCAAGCAUGCACCAAUCCUCUUCACUUCCACGACCCACCAUUCCUUUUUCCUAUUACCUAACACGAGACGCCGCAGUUCCAGUGACGAGGAGAAGGAGGCCGUGUCACCACAUGCAAUCAAGCAGGAAGCAAGGCCGCGGUGGUAAGGCAAGGAGCUCCCUGCUAUCCGUCACGUGACCUUUGACUUCCAGGACAAAAGGUUAACUGUUACAUCCGGGUCAUCAUGAUUUACCUCCGCCAGGUGCCGCCCAUUUGUCCAGUCACCUGUAUGGAGGGAUUAACGGGAGGGCGGGUGUGUGUCCUGUACCUUGCCGUGCCCCGCCCUCAAGGCCUCACCUUCCCUCACUCCUACCGCGGUACAGAAGCCAACAGGAAGAAAAGGAACCAUCGUCUGUAUACUGUCCUGCAUCACCUACUGGAGAUUAAACCAUGUGGCUGAUAAAAACAGCCUCGUAAGAGCCAGCAGAUCAGAAACGAAGCGGAAUUAAGAGACUGGUUCACAUUUGAGUGAGAAAUGACCGGAAUAAACUCAGCAAUCAGGUUAGUGCCCAGUCAAUAGAAAUAAAUAAAAAAAGGAUUAGAUAAAUUUAUAGGUAGGUAGGUACAGGCAGAACUGCCACGUGUAGCCCUGUCGGCUUCUUGCGGCCUCCGUGAUGUUGUUAUGUUGUCGUAUAUGUUGUUUUUUUUGCUCUGCCUUUUGUUAUUUUCUGACAGACACUGCCAGCAGGGACGAUCGCGGCCUGACACGUGAGGACACUGAAUCAUAUGAAAAGAAACACGCAUGAGAACCUAACUAACGAUCUGUGUGGCCUUGGAAAUCAUCCCCCGUGAGAGAGUCAAGCGUUCGUUCCAAAACACGGCACUAGGCCACGACGGGAGCAGGCGAUCAAUGCUGUUGUGUGGACCAGGCGCUGCUCACCCCGCGCUGCCAUCCCUCGGCUCAGGACACUUUGCAAGAACAUUCGGAAAAAUAGAUUGAAAAAGACUAAAAAAAUGUGGUAGGGAAACUGAAAUUGAGGCAGGAAUACUAUAUGAUUAUUCUAUGCUUCUACAACAGUAAAAAUAAAUAAAUAGAUAAAUAAAAG